UGGGGAAUAUUGCACAAUGGGGGAAACCCUGAUGCAGCGACGCCGCGUGAAGGAAGAAGUAUUUCGGUAUGUAAACUUCUAUCAGCAGGGAAGAAAGUGACGGUACCUGACUAAGAAGCCCCGGCUAACUACGUGCCAGCAGCCGCGGUAAUACGUAGGGGGCAAGCGUUAUCCGGAUUUACUGGGUGUAAAGGGAGCGUAGGCGGCGAUGCAAGUCAGAAGUGAAAGCCCGGGGCUCAACUCCGGGACUGCUUUUGAAACUGUAUGGCUAGAUUGCAGGAGAGGCAAGUGGAAUUCCUAGUG
rnacentral:rRNA from 1 species